AUCCAGCUGACGAGUCCCACAUAGGACGAAACGCGCGUCAGACUGGAA
rfam:Schistosoma curassoni strain Dakar, Senegal genome assembly, scaffold: SCTD_scaffold0002973